UCGAGGAUCUUCGGCAAUGGGCGCAAGCCUGACCGAGCGACGCCGCGUGCGCGAUGAAGGCCUUCGGGUUGUAAAGCGCUGUCGAGGGGGAGGAAAACCCGCAAGGGUCUGACCUAUCCCUGGAGGAAGGACGGGCUAAGUUCGUGCCAGCAGCCGCGGUAAGACGAACCGUCCAAACGUUGUUCGGAAUCACUGGGCUUAAAGGGCGCGUAGGCGGGUUCCCAAGUCGGUGGUGAAAUCUUUCGGCCCAACCGGAAAACAGCCGCCGAUACUGGGAGUCUCGAGGGAGGUAGGGGUCGAUGGAACUUCAGGUGGAGCGGUGAAAUGCGUAGAUAUCUGAAGGAACGCCGGUGGCGAAAGCGAUCGACUGGACCUUUUCUGACGCUGAGGCGCGAAAGCCAGGGGAGCAAACGGGAUUAGAUACCCCGGUAGUCC
rnacentral:rRNA from 1 species